rnacentral:rRNA from 1 species
AAUAUUGGACAAUGGGCGGAAGCCUGAUCCAGCCAUGCCGCGUGUGUGAAGAAGGCCUUCGGGUUNUCAAGCUCUUUCGGACGGAANGAAAUCGCUCAGGCUAAUACCCUGCGCGGAUGACGGUACCGUCAUAAGAAGCACCGGCUAACUACGUCCCAGCCGCCGCGGUAACACGUAGGGUGCGAGCGUUAAUCGGAAUUACUGGGCGUAAAGCGGGCGCGGGCGGUUAAUUAAGGAAGGGGGGAAAUCCCCGGGCUUAACCGGGGAACCGCGCUUGUAACUGGCCACCUAGAGAACGGCAGGGGGGGUUGGAAUUCCACGUGUAGCAGGAAAAUGCUUGGGAUUUUGGGGGACCACCGAUGGCGAAGGCACCCCCUGGGCCGAUACUGACGCUCAUGCACGAAAGCGUGGGUAGCAAACAGG